rnacentral:tRNA from 1 species
AGAGAGUGAAAGUCUAUUAUUGCCUUCUAAGCCUAAAAUAAAGGAGUGAAAUUCUCCUUACUCUCUU